rnacentral:rRNA from 1 species
AUUGAACGCUGGCGGCAGGCCUAACACAUGCAAGUCGAGCGAGCGGCGGACGGGUGCGUAAUGUAUGGGGACUGCCCGCUAGAGGGGGAUAACUACUGGAAACGGUUGCUAAUACCGCAUACUGUUGGAUACCCCAUAUGGGAUUAGCUAGUAGGUAAGGUAAUGGCUUACCUAGGCGACGAACCCUAGCUGUGCUGAGAGGCUGCUCAGCCACACUGGGACUGAGACACGGCCCUGACUCCUACGGGUGCAGCAGUGGGGAAUAUUCGACAACGGGCGCAAGCCUGAUGCAGCCAUGCCGAGUGUAUGAAGAAGGCCCUAGGGUUGUAAAGUACUUUCAGUCAGGAGGCGUUACCGACAGAAGAAGCACCGGCUAACUCCGUGCCAGCAGCCGCGGUAAUAC